rnacentral:lncRNA from 1 species
UAGAAUUAUGUUUAUUAGAUUCUCUGUUUAUCAUUAAAAGGGCUGUGCAUGAGUGUGAAGCUAUGACUGAACAUAGCUCAUAUGAAUGACGAAGUUAUUUGGCCAAAGGCUUUACAGUAAAAGCUGUACUGUCUCCUCCUGUCCUGUGAAGGGUGCUAGAGUCACUUCAGCUAGCGCAGCAACCUAAUGUGCUGGGGGUUUGAUUUUAAAGGGGGAACUUUCACGCGCUCGUCUGUGUUGUUAUCGGUACCUGUAUUGUCUGUAUUUGUCGUUUAAAUUCAGCGACCUGAAAUAAAGUAGAACAAUGACUAAACUGGAUCGUCUGAACACUUUCAUGACCGAGCGCUUGAUGGCUGCUGUGAAGGAGAUCAUCUUCACAGUCGGCAGAACGGUUCGGGAGUAUGAGGAGGAAACGGAGCGAAUCCGGAGCGAAAACAAGCGAUUGAAAGAAAUGUUGCGAGACUCUGGGUGCUUCAGCGAAGAAACAAAUGCCGCUCCUGUGCAGUCUUAUCAGCCCGUCUCCCCUGGGCAGCCCGGAUGGAUCUGCAGCCAGAAUGAGGAGCCAGAACCCUUUGAAGAGAUCCAGCAGGACCAAAGCCAGAGGCUUGGUGAACAACAUCCCUUCAUAAAACCGGAAAAGCCUGAGUACUCCGUCGAUACUUACAGGGAGUCUGUAGCUUUGCCAUCAAAAGCCAGCAUCAACAAUGAAGGCUCACACGUGUGUGCCGAUCACACCAACACAAAUCCUAUUGAGGAUGAAAUGACAAACUGUCAUUUCCCAUCUAAAAUCAAAGUUGAAUUCAUGAACUCCAGCUUGUGUUCAGGAGAUGCAAUGGGAAGCACUGAAGAUGCAUAUCAGAGCUGGUCCCCACACAGUCCAGAUUUGCCUUUAGGGGCUUCAGACAUCUACAGAGCACAGCAUCCAAACCAGCCAAUAUGCGCUAACAGCGAAGCUCCUGCCACAGUAUCUCAGCAUAGCAGUUCAUCUCAUGAUGCCAAUCACGUUUCAUAUCACAACAUAUUAUGUACAAACAGGGCCUACUGUAGCAGUAAAUGCUGUGAAAUGCAAAAGAGGACAAUAGCCAAAUCAAGCCCUGUAUGGAAGUAUUUCUCCCUAAAAGAUGGAGACUGUAGCAAAGCAGUGUGCCUUAUGUGUAGGGCCGUCAUAUCUCGUGGUCGCAAAGAAUACACAACGUCGGCUCUUCUAAAGCACCUUCGGAUGAAACAUGGAAAUGCGCUAAUCUUUGGCAGUGCUAAGAAGAGACGAAUGAAAGAAAUUACGAGAAAGACUGUGUGAAAACCACUCUUGAGUCAGUAUGGACACUGGCUAUUGUGCAUCAUGGCCAACCUUUAAAUGUUUUCAAACAAAUUGUUUCAUCAAAACCUACAUCAUAUGGAGUGGGUUGAGAUAGAGAAGUCAGAAAUGUAAGCUUACAAUAAGUCAUCUAAGCUAUUUGGUUAUGGUUACAGAGAAAGAGUUGGGAAAAAAUGUCACAAUCUUUAGCCUGUAAGUAACUAGUGAAUGAAUUUCAUCAGUCAACAAAAUAACAGUAUGUACAUACUAGCUAGGACAAGAAUAAUCUCAAAGAAAACUAAUAAAAAGAAAUAGAUUUAAGAAUUUUACAGAAUAUUUUGCCACCCCACUGAAAUGUAAGAUGUUCAGGUUUGAAGUUUUAAACUUGAUUUGUCUUUUA